UAUUGCUAAAAUUUUAAGGCGGUUUAGAAUAAACUGUAGGUUCGUCCAUUUUUGGAAAGUAGGUCGGCCAAAAAUAAGUUUAGCGCUUACGAAGCGCCAAUUAGAAUGAUAAUAAUAACCGCCGCGUUAUUGCAACCCUAUUUAUUUCGCUACACUUUUGCUGAUGCCCAGCUGAUUUUUAACAAGAAAGUUGCAAAUUAUUUUGCGCGGUAUAUGUACAUACAUAAGUGGAAUUUAAAAAUUAUUAUUACUUUUCAAUUAUUUAACUGUUAUUUGCUUGUUAUUGCGAAAUAAAAAACUCCGAGGUGAAAUAGUGGUUCGAAGAAGAAUUUGAUUAAUGAUUGAAAUUAUAAAGAAACGGUCAGCGCCAGGAAUAAAUUUCUUCCAAAAAAAUCUGUCGUACAUAUUCGGAUGUGUUGUGAAGCAUUUGUUACAUAAAAAGCCUUUUGCAAUCGUGGCCGAGCAAUUUCCAAAAACCUUUAAAUACCAAAUGGAAUAAUUUAUUGGGUUCCACAAAGAAGAGCGAAUAAACAUUGAGAAAUCUAAAGAAGGUUGGAUCUAGGAACUCGAAUUCGGCAAUAGAAAA